rnacentral:lncRNA from 1 species
UAUCGCUAAGUUGUGGAUAGUUAGGUAUUCUGGAAUUAGUCUUAUGCUAGAUUCUAGAAUAUGAUUGAUUGUGUUAAUUUGCGAUUAAUACUAGGAACCUUGUGUUAUUUUUAACGGGUUUAGUAUUAAUCGUAUAUUGGCCGAUAGCAUUUGUGUAACCCACAAUGCUAGGCAUGUUUGAAGUUGAAUGUGUUGAUUGUGUGGUAAUUAAUACUAGGAACCUUGUGUUAUUU